UACGUAGGGUGCAGGCGUUAAUCGGAAUUACUGGGCGUAAAGCGUGCGCAGGCGGUCUUUUAAGUCAGAUGUGAAAUCCCCGGGCUUAACCUGGGAACUGCGUUUGAAACUGGAAGGCUAGAGUGUGGCAGAGGGGGGUGGAAUUCCACAUGUAGCAGUGAAAUGCGUAGAGAUGUGGAGGAACACCGAUGGCGAAGGCAGCCCCCUGGGCUAACACUGACGCUCAUGCACGAAAGCGUGGGGAGCAAACAGG
rnacentral:rRNA from 1 species